GGUCCUACGGGACGCAGCAGUGGGGGAUAUUGCACAAUGGGGGAAACCCUGAUGCAGCGACGCCGCGUGGGCGAAGAAGUAUUUCGGUAUGUAAAGCCCUAUCAGCAGGGAAGAAGAAAUGACGGUACCUGAGUAAGAAGCACCGGCUAAAUACGUGCCAGCAGCCGCGGUAAUACGUAUGGUGCAAGCGUUAUCCGGAUUUACUGGGCGUAAAGGGAGCGCAGGCGGCGCGCCAAGUCUGAUGUGAAACCCCGGGGCUCAACCCCGGGCAUGCAUUGGAAACUGGCGGGCUGGAGUGCCGGAGG
rnacentral:rRNA from 1 species